GACCGAUAGUGAACCAGUACCGUGAGGGAAAGGCGAAAAGAACCCCGGCGAGGGGAGUGAAAAAGAACCUGAAACCGUGUACGUACAAGCAGUGGGAGCACGCUUAGGCGUGUGACUGCGUACCUUUUGUAUAAUGGGUCAGCGACUUAUAUUCUGUAGCAAGGUUAACCGAAUAGGGGAGCCGAAGGGAAACCGAGUCUUAACUGGGCGUUAAGUUGCAGGGUAUAGACCCGAAACCCGGUGAUCUAGCCAUGGGCAGGUUGAAGGUUGGGUAACACUAACUGGAGGACCGAACCGACUAAUGUUGAAAAAUUAGCGGAUGACUUGUGGCUGGGGGUGAAAGGCCAAUCAAACCGGGAGAUAGCUGGUUCUCCCCGAAAGCUAUUUAGGUAGCGCCUCGUGAAUUCAUCUCCGGGGGUAGAGCACUGUUUCGGCAAGGGGGUCAUCCCGACUUACCAACCCGAUGCAAACUGCGAAUACCGGAGAAUGUUAUCACGGGAGACACACGGCGGGUGCUAACGUCCGUCGUGAAGAGGGAAACAACCCAGACCGCCAGCUAAGGUCCCAAAGUCAUGGUUAAGUGGGAAACGAUGUGGGAAGGCCCAGACAGCCAGGAUGUUGGCUUAGAAGCAGCCAUCAUUUAAAGAAAGCGUAAUAGCUCACUGGUCGAGUCGGCCUGCGCGGAAGAUGUAACGGGGCUAAACCAUGCACCGAAGCUGCGGCAGCGACGCUUAUGCGUUGUUGGGUAGGGGAGCGUUCUGUAAGCCUGUGAAGGUGUGCUGUGAGGCAUGCUGGAGGUAUCAGAAGUGCGAAUGCUGACAUAAGUAACGAUAAAGCGGGUGAAAAGCCCGCUCGCCGGAAGACCAAGGGUUCCUGUCCAACGUUAAUCGGGGCAGGGUGAGUCGACCCCUAAGGCGAGGCCGAAAGGCGUAGUCGAUGGGAAACAGGUUAAUAUUCCUGUACUUGGUGUUACUGCGAAGGGGGGACGGAGAAGGCUAUGUUGGCCGGGCGACGGUUGUCCCGGUUUAAGCGUGUAGGCUGGUUUUCCAGGCAAAUCCGGAAAAUCAAGGCUGAGGCGUGAUGACGAGGCACUACGGUGCUGAAGCAACAAAUGCCCUGCUUCCAGGAAAAGCCUCUAAGCAUCAGGUAACAUCAAAUCGUACCCCAAACCGACACAGGUGGUCAGGUAGAGAAUACCAAGGCGCUUGAGAGAACUCGGGUGAAGGAACUAGGCAAAAUGGUGCCGUAACUUCGGGAGAAGGCACGCUGAUAUGUAGGUGAAGUCCCUCGCGGAUGGAGCUGAAAUCAGUCGAAGAUACCAGCUGGCUGCAACUGUUUAUUAAAAACACAGCACUGUGCAAACACGAAAGUGGACGUAUACGGUGUGACGCCUGCCCGGUGCCGGAAGGUUAAUUGAUGGGGUUAGCCGCAAGGCGAAGCUCUUGAUCGAAGCCCCGGUAAACGGCGGCCGUAACUAUAACGGUCCUAAGGUAGCGAAAUUCCUUGUCGGGUAAGUUCCGACCUGCACGAAUGGCGUAAUGAUGGCCAGGCUGUCUCCACCCGAGACUCAGUGAAAUUGAACUCGCUGUGAAGAUGCAGUGUACCCGCGGCAAGACGGAAAGACCCCGUGAACCUUUACUAUAGCUUGACACUGAACAUUGAGCCUUGAUGUGUAGGAUAGGUGGGAGGCUUAGAAGUGUGGACGCCAGUCUGCAUGGAGCCGACCUUGAAAUACCACCCUUUAAUGUUUGAUGUUCUAACGUUGACCCGUAAUCCGGGUUGCGGACAGUGUCUGGUGGGUAGUUUGACUGGGGCGGUCUCCUCCUAAAGAGUAACGGAGGAGCACGAAGGUUGGCUAAUCCUGGUCGGACAUCAGGAGGUUAGUGCAAUGGCAUAAGCCAGCUUGACUGCGAGCGUGACGGCGCGAGCAGGUGCGAAAGCAGGUCAUAGUGAUCCGGUGGUUCUGA
rnacentral:rRNA from 1 species